rnacentral:rRNA from 1 species
UUGCACGCUGGCGGCAGGCCUAACACAUGCCAGUCGAACGGUAACAGGAAACAGCUUGCUGUUUCGCUGACGAGUGGCGGACGGGUGAGUAAUGUCUGGGAAACUGCCUGAUGGAGGGGGAUAACUACUGGAAACGGUAGCUAAUACCGCAUAACGUCGCAAGACCAAAGAGGGGGACCCUCGGGCCUCUUGCCAUCGGAUGUGCCCAGAUGGGAUUAGCUUGUUGGUGGGGUAACGGCUCACCAAGGCGACGAUCCCUAGCUGGUCUGAGAGGAUGACCAGCCACACUGGAACUGAGACACGGUCCAGACUCCUACGGGAGGCAGCAGUGGGGAAUAUUGCACAAUGGGCGCAAGCCUGAUGCAGCCAUGCCGCGUGUAUGAAGAAGGCCUUCGGGUUGUAAAGUACUUUCAGCGGGGAGGAAGGGAGUAAAGUUAAUACCUUUGCUCAUUGACGUUACCCGCAGAAGAAGCACCGGCUAACUCCGUG